UUCAGUCCCCCAGAAAUUGCACCAGAGGGAUGGAACCUCUCUCUGAUUGGACAACAGCACUUUUGGAGGGAAAAUAAAAGGAGCCAUUUCUGAGGGAGAGAGUUAGAUAGUGUUUGAUAUGAGAGAAGAUGAAGAGGGAUUGUUUUGAGGUGGGAGUUGGGGAGGAGGAUAGGAUUUGCCUGAGGGAGAACUGGUUCUGGUUUGAGUUGAACACCCUCCCUGAGAGAGGAAAGACCCUCCCAGCCUGGAGAGGGAGACUCGGUUGGGGGUCUGGGGGAGGUCGACAAACAGGGGUGUCCUGGGAGGGCUGACUCUUGAGGCAGGAGAAGCAGAUCCUGGGGGAUUCAGGCUCUUCUGGGUCCCCUUCCAGUCAGGAGGGGGCAGUUCUUCUAGGGAGAGAAGACCCCCCAAGCCAGUCACAAGGGGGGAAGGGGACCCCUGGGUCUGUUACGCCAUUUUGGAAUUACCUCAGCAGUGGGGUUGCUUAGAGGGGGAGCUGGGGAAAAGUGCCCCUCGCUCAUGAACCAGGGUAUUGAUCGGGGAAGGAAGCUGUGCUGUAUUUAACUGAACCACCUGUCAUAACUAAGUAACAGAAAAUGAAGUAUAACAACUUUUUUUUAGUGAAGAGAGCUUAAGAGAAGCGGUGACUGUAAUCCUGUGUUUAAGACUGAAACAUCUUAUAGUUUAAGUAAAUAAGUUGACUUCUACCCGGGAGAACACAUUUCCUGACCCACAUUCUUUCAAAAGAUUCUUUUUAUUAAUAAAACUCUGUUUUUUGUUCAA